AACGAACGCUGGCGGCAGGCUUAACACAUGCAAGUCGAGCGCCCCGCAAGGGGAGCGGCAGUCGGGUGAGUAACGCGUGGGAACGUACCUUUUGGUUCGGAACAACUCCGGGAAACUGGAGCUAAUACCGGAUAAGCCCUAACGGGGAAAGAUUUAUCGCCGAAAGAUCGGCCCGCGUCUGAUUAGCUAGUUGGUGAGGUAACGGCUCACCAAGGCGACGAUCAGUAGCUGGUCUGAGAGGAUGAUCAGCCACACUGGGACUGAGACACGGCCCAGACUCCUACGGGAGGCAGCAGUGGGGAAUAUUGGACAAUGGGCGCAAGCCUGAUCCAGCCAUGCCGCGUGAGUGAUGAAGGCCUUAGGGUUGUAAAGCUCUUUUGUCCGGGAAGAUAAUGACUGUACCGGAAGAAUAAGCCCCGGCUAACUUCGUG
rnacentral:rRNA from 1 species